GAGGGAUGAAGGCCUCUGGGCUGUAAACCUCUUUCUCAAGGAAGAAGAUCUGACGGUACUUGAGAAUAAGCCACGGCUAAUUCCGUGCCAGCAGCCGCGGUAAUACGGGAGUGGCAAGCGUUAUCCGGAAUUAUUGGGCGUAAAGCGUCCGCAGGCGGCCUUGAAAGUCUGUCGUUAAAGCGUGGAGCUUAACUCCAUUUGAGCGAUGGAAACUGCAAGGCUAGAGUGUGGUAGGGGCAGAGGGAAUUCCCGGUGUAGCGGUGAAAUGCGUAGAUAUCGGGAAGAACACCAGUGGCGAAGGCGCUCUGCUGGGCCAUCACUGACGCUCAUGGACGAAAGCCAGGGGAGCGAAAGGGAUUAGAUACCCCUGUAGUCCUGGCCGUAAACGAUGAACACUAGGUGUCGGGGGAAUCGACCCCCUCGGUGUCGUAGCCAACGCGUUAAGUGUUCCGCCUGGGGAGUACGCACGCAAGUGUGAAACUCAAAGGAAUUGACGGGGGCCCGCACAAGCGGUGGAGUAUGUGGUUUAAUUCGAUGCAACGCGAAGAACCUUACCAGGGUUUGACAUCCUGCGAAUCCCUUGGAAACGAGGGAGUGCCUUCGGGAGCGCAGAGACAGGUGGUGCAUGGCUGUCGUCAGCUCGUGUCGUGAGAUGUUGGGUUAAGUCCCGCAACGAGCGCAACCCACGUCGUUAGUUGCCAGCAUUCAGUUGGGCACUCUAGCGAGACCGCCGGUGAUAAACCGGAGGAAGGUGUGGAUGACGUCAAGUCAUCAUGCCCCUUACAUCCUGGGCUACACACGUACUACAAUGCUACGGACAAAGGGCAGCAAGCUCGCGAGAGCUAGCAAAUCCCAUAAACCGUGGCUCAGUUCAGAUCGUAGGCUGCAACUCGCCUACGUGAAGGAGGAAUCGCUAGUAAUCGCAGGUCAGCAUACUGCGGUGAAUACGU
rnacentral:rRNA from 1 species